rnacentral:rRNA from 1 species
UGGCGGCGUGCUAUACAUGCAAGUCGAGCGGACAGAAGGGAGCUUGCUCCCGGAUGUUAGCGGCGGACGGGUGAGUAACACGUGGGUAACCUGCCUGUAAGACUGGGAUAACUCCGGGAAACCGGAGCUAAUACCGGAUAGUUCCUUGAACCGCAUGGUUCAAGGAUGAAAGACGGUUUCGGCUGUCACUUACAGAUGGACCCGCGGCGCAUUAGCUAGUUGGUGAGGUAACGGCUCACCAAGGCGACGAUGCGUAGCCGACCUGAGAGGGUGAUCGGCCACACUGGGACUGAGACACGGCCCAGACUCCUACGGGAGGCAGCAGUAGGGAAUCUUCCGCAAUGGACGAAAGUCUGACGGAGCAACGCCGCGUGAGUGAUGAAGGUUUUCGGAUCGUAAAGCUCUGUUGUUAGGGAAGAACAAGUGCAAGAGUAACUGCUUGCACCUUGACGGUACCUAACCAGAAAGCCACGGCUAACUACGUGCCAGCAGCCGCGGUAAUACGUAGGUGGCAAGCGUUGUCCGGAAUUAUUGGGCGUAAAGGGCUCGCAGGCGGUUUCUUAAGUCUGAUGUGAAAGCCCCCGGCUCAACCGGGGAGGGUCAUUGGAAACUGGGAAACUUGAGUGCAGAAGAGGAGAGU